GAUGAACGCUGGCGGCGUGCCUAACACAUGCAAGUCGAACGGAAAGGCCCAAACUUUCUUGGGUUCUCGAUUGGCGAACGGGUGAGUAACACGUGGGUGAUCCCCCCUGCACUUCGGGGUAAGCCUGCGAAACUGGGUCUCAUACCGCGUAUGACCUCAUUUAGGAUGGUGUGGUGGAAAGUUGUUCGGUGUGGGCUGAGCUCGCGGCCUAUCACCUUCUUGGUGGGGUAAUUGCCUACCAAGCGGUCGACGGGUCGCCGGCAUGAGAGGGUGUACGGCCACCUUGCGACUAAGAUACGGCGCAGACGGGUACGGGAGGCAGCAGUGGGGAAUCUUGCACAAUGGGGGCAAGUCAGAUGCAGAGGCGCCGCGUGGGGAAUGACGGCCUUCGGGUGGUAAACUACUGUCGAUAGGGCCGAAGCGCAAGUGACGGUACCUGGAGAAGAAGCCCCGGCUAACUACGUG
rnacentral:rRNA from 1 species